rnacentral:rRNA from 1 species
GACGAACGCUGGCGGCGUGCUUAACACAUGCAAGUCGAACGGAAAGGCCCUGCUUUUGUGGGGUGCUCGAUUGGCGAACGGGUGAGUAACACGUGAGUAACCUGCCCUUGACUUUGGGAUAACUUCAGGAAACUGGGGCUAAUACCGGAUAGGAGCUCCUGCUGCAUGGUGGGGGUUGGAAAGUUUCGGCGGUUGGGGAUGGACUCGCGGCUUAUCAGCUUGUUGGUGAGGUAGUUGCUUACCAAGGCUUUGACGGGUAGCCGGCCUGAGAGGGUGACCGGCCACAAUGGGACUGAGAUACGGCACAGACUCCUACGUGAGGCAGCAGUGGGGAAUAUUGCGCAAUGGGCGGAAGCCUGAUGCAGCAGCGCCGCGUGCGGGAUGACGGCCUUCGGGUUGUAAACCGCUUUCGCCUGUGACGAAGCGUGAGUGACGGUAAUGGGUAAAGAAGCACCGGCUAACUACGUG